UACAUCCAGAGGGUCUUGUGGUUAAAAUACGUCAGGAGACCUGUGCCCACUUCGCCACAGAACUCCUGUAUAACUUUGGAAAUCUAGCACCAAUGGGCUUGAUCUCAACAGGAACUGAGGAGUUCUGCUCCGACUAACUUCACUGGGAGCUGAAGGUACUCAGCACCUUGCCGGAAGCACCCAGCCCUUCGCAGCAAUAAAGCCAACAACAGGAGGAGAAAUCUAGGUGGAGAUGUUUUACUUCUGUCAUGCAGGCUAAAGACAUUAGAAUACAGCCUCGCUCCCCUGGUUCGGAUCAUCAGAGUACCUGGCACAAUCACGUCGUAAUCCCUGAGUGUGGUUCCCUGGUACUACCACAAUACAGAUAAGUUUUAUUUUGCACCCACAUUCUCGUCAGCUCGGGAUCCCCAAUCAGCUAUCCACACAAAUUAUUCCUGGAAAAAACGAGAGUAUUCUGGACAGCUGGAAAUGAGGACAGCUAGCACCAUGUGACCAACCAACUCUAUACAGACCAUCACCACUGUGACGAACAUGGUAUAAGGAUCUGAACAGAAGGGCUCAACGGACUACCAGUAGUCAACUGUAAUACUAAUAUCAGUGCUAACCCAUAUUUGUAUGGAAUUUUUCAAAAAUUAUUCA